rfam:Populus trichocarpa isolate Nisqually-1 chromosome 16, whole genome shotgun sequence.
UAGUCUAUCUGUAAAAAAUCUCUAUUUGAUUAUGACAGAUCCUCGUUCGAAUGUCUAGAACCUUCAGCUUUCAUAAGCCCAACUGCAUCAUUGUUUUUUUUUCUUUCGAAAAGCAUAAAAAUACUAACAAUUAGUUGUCAAAACA